rnacentral:lncRNA from 1 species
UCCAAACCAGGCUUUCUCAAUUUCACCAUCCUCACCUCCCCACAGCACAUCUGAGGCCCAUCUGGAGAAUGGUUACCAGAGGCUGGGAAGGGUAGUGGGAGAUUGAGGGGAGGUGGGGAUAGUUGAACUCUCGUGAGUUCAAUUGUUUUCAUUUUUAGAGCCCACAAAUAACUAAGAACAUGCAAUGUUUGUCUUUCUGUUCCUGGCUUAUUUCGCUUAACAUAAUGAUCUUCAGCUUCAUCCAUGAAGUCCUGCAACAUUUUCGGUGCCCAAUGUGGGGCUCAAAAAGCGGCCAUCAGACUCCAAACAGUUAUGCAACUGGAGCCUCCUGAGGAUGACCCCUUCUGCCUGGGACCCUUAGAUCAGCCUCUAGAGAAGCUUUGACUGCUGUUUCCCCAA